GCCUUCGUAGUGUAGCGGUCAGCACGCUCGACGUGUAUUCGAGAGGUUAAUGGUUCGAGUCUCGGCGAAGGCG
rnacentral:tRNA from 1 species